GAGCAUGAAGCCGGAAUCGCUAGUAAUCGUAGAUCAGCCAUGCUACGGUGAAUACGUUCCCGGGUCUUGUACUCACCGCCCGUCACACCAUGGGAGUUGAUUUCACUCGAAGCCGGAAUACUAAACUAGUUACCGUCCACAGUGGAAUCAGCGACUGGGGUGAAGUCGUAACAAGGUAACCGUAGGAGAACCUGCGGUUGGAUCACCUCCUUUCUAG
rnacentral:rRNA from 1 species